rnacentral:rRNA from 1 species
UACGUAGGGGGCAAGCGUUGUCCGGAAUCAUUGGGCGUAAAGCGCGCGUAGGCGGCCCGGUAAGUCCGCUCUGAAAGUCCAGGGCUCAACCCUGGAAAGCGGGUGGAUACUGCCGGGCUAGAAUCCGGAAGAGGCGAGUGGAAUUCCUGGUGUAGCGGUGAAAUGCGUAGAUAUCAGGAGGAACACCGGCGGUGUAGACGGCUCUCUGGACCGUAACUGACGCUGAGAUACGAAAGCGUGGGUAGCAAACAGG